GACAGGACAGCCAAGGACAUAAGGAGGGGAGAGGUCAGAGGAUGUUGGGGAGGUCCUCAGAAGCCAGGUCAUGCAGGAGCUUGGAGUCAUGUUGAGGAAUAAGGAUUUCAUCCUGCAGUUUCUGGCACGGAACCUCCAAAAGAUGUUCAUACUUAGAAAUGCUUGCAGGAUCACUCCAUGGUAUGCUACACACCUAUCAAAAGCAGAAAUGAGGGGAUUUUGACUGUGGACAGACAACAAGGGAUGGAAGCCUAAGGACAGGAGAGGACACUAACUGACUGAAAUGAGAGUGGCAGCUGGUCCUUAAGAUCCACAGCACCAAAGUGGAACACAUUGUCUUCCUCUCAGAACAAAUUCCUCCUCCUUCUCACAUUCUCAUUUCUGUUAAUGGAAUCCUGUUCUGUUAAUCUUCUGAUCUGCUGGACUGUACACUGGAAGUCAUCAUGUGCUUCUCACACCCUCCUAAGUCCUGCACACAUAGUCAUCAAGGACUCCUAGUUAAUCCUCCAUCCCAUCUCUAGCUGCCUGACGAAUGUCUUGCCAGGCUUAUGACACUCUGCUGUAGGCAGUUACGGUGGGGGUGCAGUGGGGCCAUUCUGCCUUAGCUGUCCUACCAGGUGGGUGGCUGUAUGGGUUUCCUUGCAGAUUGCUGGGAUUGCCCUGGGAGUGCUUCUGUGAAUUGGGUUAUGAGACUCUACUCUUACAAGACUCUGCCUCUCCCCAACCCUGGAAUAAAAAAUUCUGUUCGAUGCAAUGCAAUGCCACUACAUGCCACUUUUAAAAGCAAAGCAGAAAUAGAGGGCUUUGUUUAAUAGAUUCAAGGCUUACAGGAACUGUUAACAGUCCUC